GUUACCUGAUUUUACUGAGAAGCUCACUGUGAUGGAGAAAGGGAAGCUCGGGCAAAUACCAGAUGUACAGGUUCAUCUGUAUGUCAGUGGGCUGGUCUACACUGGUUCAUCUGUAUCUCAGUGGGCUGGUCUACACUGGUUCAUCUGUAGCGCAGUGGUCUGGUCUACACUGGUUCAUCUGUAGCUCAGUGUUCUGGUCUACACUGGUUCAUCUGUAUCUCAGUGGGCUGGUCUACACUGGUUCAUCUGUAUGUCAGUGGGCUGGUCUACACAGGUUCAUCUGUAGCUCAGUGGGCUGGUCUACACUGGUUAAUCUGUAUCUCAGUGGGCUGGUCUACACUGGUUCAUCUGUAGCUCAGUG
rnacentral:lncRNA from 1 species